CUCUUCUCUUUGUUCUCCGUCUGGGUUCUUCUCUACACAACAACACACAAAGAGACCGUACCAGAUCGUGUGGAUGAAGACAGCGGACAUACUUGUGUUUCUCCUCCAACCACUCGAUUUGACUCUCCUCCACCCGCCUGCCAGAAGAACAACACAUGGGCUUUCAGAGCGGCCUGGGAUUCCACCAGCUGUCUGUUCUGAACCCGCUGGACGUUCUCCGCCUGCUGCUCCGAGUGGUCCUUCUGAGCCUGCAAUUCCGCCACCUCUGCCUGGAGACCCUUCAAGCGCAAGCAUCUUCUGAAGCUCCAUCUCGGCCCCGGCGGACAAACCGGGCAUGGAUGAAGACGCCCCCGCGCCGGGCCCCAGGCUAGCCCC